rnacentral:rRNA from 1 species
AGAGUUUGAUCCUGGCUCAGGACGAACGCUGGCGGCGUGCUUAACACAUGCAAGUCGAACGGAAAGGCCCUUCGGGGUACUCGAGUGGCGAACGGGUGAGUAACACGUGGGUGAUCUGCCCUGCACUUUGGGAUAAGCCUGGGAAACUGGGUCUAACACCGAAUAUGACCAUGCACUUCCUGGUGUGUGGUGGAAAGCUUUUGCGGUGUGGGAUGGGCCCGCGGCCUAUCAGCUUGUUGGUGGGGUAAUGGCCUACCAAGGCGACGACGGGUAGCCGGCCUGAGAGGGUGACCGGCCACACUGGGACUGAGAUACGGCCCAGACUCCUACGGGAGGCAGCAGUGGGGAAUAUUGCACAAUGGGCGCAAGCCUGAUGCAGCGACGCCGCGUGAGGGAUGACGGCCUUCGGGUUGUAAACCUCUUUCAGCACAGACGAAGCGCAAGUGACGGUAUGUGCAGAAGAAGGACCGGCCAACUACGUGCCAGCAGCCGCGGUAAUACGUAGGGUCCGAGCGUUGUCCGGAAUUACUGGGCGUAAAGAGCUCGUAGGUGGUUUGUCGCGUUGUUCGUGAAAACUCACAGCUUAACUGUGGGCGUGCGGGCGAUACGGGCAGACUUGAGUACUGCAGGGGAGACUGGAAUUCCUGGUGUAGCGGUGGAAUGCGCAGAUAUCAGGAGGAACACCGGUGGCGAAGGCGGGUCUCUGGGCAGUAACUGACGCUGAGGAGCGAAAGCGUGGGGAGCGAACAGGAUUAGAUACCCUGGUAGUCC